rnacentral:lncRNA from 1 species
AUUUCACCUCUAAAGCCUCCUCCGGGAAGGCCAGAGCCUCCACCACCGGCCACCCCUCCACCACCACCGCCACCUCGUGCUGCUGCUGCUCCGCCACCACCGCCUCCAAAACCACUGGGACCAAAGCGAGGUGAUAACGAUGAUUCAAAUGAUGCAGAUGGUGAUGAAGAAUCUGAAGCUCCCAAGCCGAAGUUGAAAC